rnacentral:lncRNA from 1 species
CUCAUUUUAUUCUUACAACAACCCUGAUAGCUUCUCUUUUUAUCACUAUUUUUCAGAUGAAGAAACUGGGGCUGAGAGAGAUUAAGUGACUAGCCCAGGCUCACAGAGCUAUUAAGUGUCUGGAUCAGGAUUUGAAGUCAGGUCUUCCUAACUCCCAGGGCAUAAUACCUGUAUGCCCUCCUUCUGUUUUUGCAGAAAGAUUUCAUCAAGAAGUCUUGGCUGUCUGAAGCUAUGAGCAAAGAAUACUAAAUGAGUUUUCAUGUGAACAUUCAGAAAUCUGUAGCCAAGAAGACUUGAUUUGCUGAAGAAAGGAGAGCUAACAAAUGAAUGAAAAGUACUGUGAAGCUGAGGAGACAAUCCAGCAGCAUAAAGCCCAUGGAUUUCCAGGUUUUACAUGAAGCCCUAAUUCUUCAAAUCAUCAAAGCCCAAUGGCAGAAUAAAAGUCUGGAUGAUUGGCAAUGGCCUAGGAUACAGCGGCUGCCUCUAGUAUCUUUGAUGUCUGGCCAAGUUCUAAGCUCUCCACAGUGAAUGCUUCAGCUGAUUUUAUGUCCAUUGGAACACAGGACAAGAAGUUUAUCCUAAAAGUGUCACCAUAUGUAACAGUUUUACAAU